rnacentral:rRNA from 1 species
AUACGUAGGGGGCGAGCGUUGUCCGGAAUGAUUGGGCGUAAAGGGCGCGUAGGCGGCCCGGUAAGUCUGGAGUGAAAGUCCUGUUUUUAAGAUGGGAAUUGCUUUGGAUACUGUCGGGCUUGAGUGCAGGAGAGGUAAGUGGAAUUCCCAGUGUAGCGGUGAAAUGCGUAGAGAUUGGGAGGAACACCAGUGGCGAAGGCGACUUACUGGACUGUAACUGACGCUGAGGCGCGAAAGUGUGGGGAGCAAACAGGAUUAGAUACCCUGGUAGUCCACACUGUAAACGAUGAAUGCUAGGUGUAGGGGGUGUCGACCCCUUCUGUGCCGCAGUCAACACAAUAAGCAUUCCGCCUGGGGAGUACGGCCGCAAGGUUGAAACUCAAAUGAAUUGACGGGU